rnacentral:rRNA from 1 species
GAUGAACGCUAGCGGCAGGCCUAACACAUGCAAGUCGAGGGGCAGCACGAUUGAGCUUGCUUAAUUGGUGGCGACCGGCGCACGGGUGCGUAACGCGUAUGCAACCUACCUUAUACUGGGGUAUAGCCCGAAGAAAUUCGGAUUAAUCCCCCAUAGCAUUAUCGAUUCGCAUGUUUGAUAAUUAAAGGUUACGGUAUAAG